rnacentral:misc_RNA from 1 species
GAUGAAGAACGUAGCGAAAUGCGAUAAGUAAUGUGAAUUGCAGAAUCCAGUGAAUCAUCGAAUCUUUGAACGCACAUUGCGCCCGCCAGCAUUCUGGCGGGCAUGCCUGUCCGAGCGUCAUUUCAACCCUCAAGCACUGCUUGGCGUUGGGGCGCUACGCGCUGAGCGUAGGCCCCUAAAAUCAGUGGCGGACCCGCUGUGGCUCCGGGCGUAGUAGCAACACCUGGCCCUGGGACCGCGGCGCGUUCCGGCCGUUAAACCCCCCACUAUAUCGAAGGUUGACCUCGGAUCAGGUAGGAAUACCCGCUGAACUUAAGCAUAUCAAUAAGCGGAGGA